rnacentral:rRNA from 1 species
UUAUUAUUUAUUUAUUUAUUUAUUGUUUUUGUAAAUUUAAUUUAUUAAAAAUAAUUAUAUUAAUUAUUGUUUUAGUAAUUUAUUAUGAAUUAAUAAUUUUAAUAAUAGUAUAUUAGUAUUGUGAAAGAAUAUUGAAAUAUAUUAAUAAUUUAUAUUUUUUAAGAAGAUUUAAUUUAUUGUACCUUGUGUAUCAGGGUUUAUUAAAUAAAAUUUAUUUAAUAUAAUUUUCUCGAUUUUAAAAGAUUUAAUAGAUUAAUAAAUUUAAUGUAUUAUAAUUAUUUUUAAUAAUCUAUUAGAAAUGAAAUGUUAUUCGUUUUUAAUGUUAUCUAGUUUUUUUAGAAAUGAAUUUAAUUCAUAAUUUUUAUAUUAAUAAUUUUUUUUGUUAAAUUUUAUUAUAUUAAAAUUUAAUAUUCUAUGGGAUAAGCUAUAGAAUAAAUUUUUAUAAAAUUUAUUUAUAUUUUUUUAUAUAUGCUUAAUAUUAGCAAUUAUUUUUGAGUAUGUUAUAAUUUAAUAUUUAAAUUUUAUUAUUUAUUAUAUUUUUAAUUUUUUAUAAAAAUAUUUAUUAUAAUUUAAAUAAUAAAUUAAUAAUGAUAAAAUUAGUAUAUUAUUUUGUAAAUAUAAAUUUAUUUGAUAGGUUUAAUUAAAGAAUUAGGCAAAAUUGUAGUAUUCACCUGUUUAACAAAAACAUGUCUUUUAGAAUUUAAUUUAAAGUCUAAUCUGCCCACUGAAUUUUAAAUGGCCGCAGUAUAUUAACUGUGCAAAGGUAGCAUAAUAAUUAGUCUUUUAAUUGAAGGCUUGAAUGAAUGAUUGGAUGAGAUACUAACUGUUUCAAUUGAAUUUUUAUAGAACUUUAUUUUUUAGUAAAAAAGCUAAAAUAUAAUUAAUAGACGAGAAGACCCUAUAAAUCUUUAUAUUAUAUUUUAUUAUUAUAAUUUAGAUUUAUUAUAUUAUAAUAAAUUAUAAUAUUUUAUUGGGGAGAUAUUAAAAUUUAAUUAACUUUUAAUUUUAAGUACAUUAAUUUAUGAAUUUUUGAUCCGUUAUUAGUGAUUAUUAAAUUAAGAUACUUUAGGGAUAACAGCGUAAUUUUUUUGGAAAGUUCUUAUUAAUAAAAAAUAUUGCGACCUCGAUGUUGGAUUAAGAUAUAAUAUUAGGUGCAGUAGCUUAAUUUUUAAGUCUGUUCGACUUUUAAUUUCUUACAUGAUCUGAGUUCAAACCGGUGUAAACCAGGUUGGUUUCUAUCUUUAAUAUAUUAAAAUAUUAUAGUACGAAAGGAUUUAAUA